CAUUUGAGGAAAGUGGUUGCCUUAAAAACAUCAAGUAUGUGUGUGUGUGUGUGUGUGUGUGUGUGUGAUAGUGAGAGAGGGAGAGAUAGAGAGAGAAAGAGAGAAAGUGCAGAUAUUGUUAUAGCAUUAAAUGUGAACACAUUCAUUCAUUCCACAGAUAAAUGAGUCUAUGUUAAUUGGUUUCUUGUGUCUCCUUGAGUUUAUAGACAACACACACACAGACCUCCAUCUCCAGUGCCCAGCUGUGUGUCCAUGAAGAGUGACCGGUCCAUGCCUUUACCUCUUAACUUCAGCAGUGAACCAGUUCCAUCAGGUCUUAAACGACACUCACACAGACCUCCAUCUCCAGUGCCCAGCUGUGUGUCCAUGAAGAGUGACCGGUCCAUGCCUUUACCUCUUAACUUCAGCAGUGAACUAGUUGCAUCCAUUCUAAAACGACACACACACAGACCUCCAUCUCCAGUGCCCAGCUGUGUGUCCAUGAAGAGUAAUCGGUCCAUGCCUUUACCUCUUAACUUCAGCAGUGAACCAGUUCCAUCAGGUCUUAAGUGAGUAGUUUUUAUAUUCAGACAUUUCAGUGAUGUCACAUGCAAUUAUUGACACAAACACACACACACAACUGUGUGUCCAUGAAGAGUGACCGGUCCAUUCCUGUGAACUAGCUGCUUCCAUUCUAAAGUGAGUAGUUUUUAUUUAAGUUAUUCAGACAUACCAGUGUUGUUACAUGCAACAACACACACACACACGCACACUCACAACCUUUUAUGAAAGCGGAUUGGUA
rnacentral:lncRNA from 1 species